AGGCGACCAACGGCUUAAGACGCACUAGGCUGGUAAGAAGCAGCAGAGGAAUCUACGAAAAGCUGCUCUGUUUUCAGAAAAGGCUUCCAGCCUCAUCUCAUUGUGGACGGUUUGAUUUGUGGCCUAGCAUAUGGUCUAGCUGGAGAAGGCCCAGCCUGCUGUGGCGGUACA